rnacentral:lncRNA from 1 species
CUCUUUUGCUCGGUCCAGCCUGUGAGGACAUAGCAAGAAGGCCCAUCUAGGAAGCAGAGACCAAGCCCUCACCAGACACGGCAUCUGUUGAUCUUCCCAGCCUCCAGAACGUUAAGGAUCUCCAGAAGCAAUUAUCCUGGAUUUACGGUGGGCCUUAAACCCAACGACUGGUGUCUUUAUAAGAAGAAGAGAAGACACAGAAACAAAAAGAGGCAAGACCAGGUGGAGACGGAGGUAGAAGUUGGAGUGAAGCAUCUACAAGCAGAGGAACGCCAAGGAUUGCCUGGAGCCACCAGGAGCCAGAAGAGAGGCCUGGAUCAGACUCUCCCCGGAAACCUCCAGAAGGAACCAACUCUACCCAAACCUUGAUUUUGAACUUCCGGCCUCCAGAACUGUGAAAUAAUAAUUUCUAUGGGUUUAAGCUACCCAGUUUACAGUACUUUGUGACAGCAGUCCUGGGAGACAAAUAUACCCUCCUGACCUUGGGGAAGUGUUUUCCCUGCUCUUGUGUCCAAGGGGGAGUUGGCAGGACUGUUAGAAAUGAGGGAUGGGCCUCCAUUUGGCCCACCAUGGGCCAAAUCUCCAGAGCUGGAGAGUAGUAAUUUCUCCCCCUUGGGAGUGGUGUUGAUUCUCUUCUCUCUAGAGCUCAAGGUCCUGGGCUAGCAGCUGGAGAACAGGACUCUGAGGGACUUUCAUCCAGCCAUGCAUUCAGGGACCCAGUGAGGGUGAUGGGCAGCUGCCACACCCUACAGAAUCUGGGCCUGAGUGCUGAAGAGGGACCAACCUGGGUGCCCCUUAAGCAUAGGAUUCAGACUCCAACAGGCCUGUUUUGUUUUUAUUUUAGAGACAGGGCCUCACUCUGUUGCCUAGACUGGAGUGCAGUGGUGUGAUCAUAGCUCACCGCAGCCUUGACCUCCUGAGCUCAAGCAUCCUCCUGUCUCAGCGUCCCAAGUUGCUGGGACUACUGGUGCUUGCCACUGCAUCCGGCUAAUUUUUACAUUUUUUUGUAGAGACAGGGUCUCACUAUGUUGCCCAGGCUGGUCUUGAACUCCUGGCCUCAAGAGAUCUUUCUGCCUCGGCCACCCAAAUUGUGGUGAUUAUAGGUGUGAGCCACUGCGCCCGGCUUACACCAGUUUUAAAUCCUACAACAUCCUAGGUGUGCUAGCUUGGAUUGGUCACUCAGACUCCAGGGUUCUACAGUCUCGUGUAAAAUGAGAAGGAGAAUAUCUACCUCAUGAAGUCACUGGGAGAUUUAGAGAAAAAACACACAUGAAGAGUUUAAAUAAUGAUGAUAAUGAAGAUCUUUCAAAGCCUGUUUCUGUGUAGCCCUGAAGGGUUACUGUGGGUCACCCUACGGAAAGAUCUAUGCUCUCCAGCAAAAUCGGAAGACUGGACACAAAUGUGUGAAAUGAGGAAAUCAUAAAAUACACAAGAUUAGCAAGUGACUAGGAUUUAAUCCAGGCUGACUGGAGUCAGGUUUUAUGUGGUGUCAUGGAGGUAGGUAGGGUGGCCAGCUUUUCCCAGUUUGCCUGAGACUUGCCUGGGUUUAGUGCCGGAAGUCCCAUGUCCUGAGCAAACUAGGAUAGUUGGUCACCUUGCACGGAGAAGCACUGAAGGAAUUAUCCACCCAUCCAUCCAUCAACUCAUUCAUUCAUUUAAACAUUCCAUGAACAUGCAUUGAGUGCCCACCAUGGGCCAGUCUCUUUUAGGCACUGGCCAGGAUAGAAGGAGCCCCCAUAGCAGUCACAUGCAUACUUGCAUUCAUUCAUUAAGUAAAGCAUCUAUUAUGCAACUUCUGUGUGCCAGGCAUUCUUAGGUGCAGCAAAGACAAAGACAAAUAGUAUCAUUUGUGUCAUUAAGAUGUUUAUAUCUGGCCAGGCGCAGUGGCUCAUGCCUGUAAUCCCAGCACUUUGGGAGGCUGAGGCAGGCGGAUCACAAGGUCAGGAGUUCGAGAUCAGCCUGGCCAAUAUAGUGAAACCCCGUCUCUACUAAAAAUACAAAAAAUUAGCCGGGUGCGGUGUCGCACGCCUGUUGUCCCAGUUAUUUGGGAGGCUGAGGCAGGAGAAUCGCUUGAACCCAGGAGGCGGAGGUUGCAGUGAGCUGAGAUUGUGCCAUUGCACUCCAGCCUGGGUGACAGAGCAAGACUCCAUUUCAAAAAUAAUUAGCCGGGCAUGGUGGUGGGCACCUGUAAUCUCAGCUACUCAGGAGGCUGAUGCAGGAGAAUUGCUUGAACUUGGGAGGCAGAGGUUGCACCACUGCACUCCAGCCUGGGUAACAAGAGCAAAACUCCAUCUCAAAAAUAAAAAGAUGUUCAUAUCUAGCAGUGGAGAGAGAUGGGGCAGCAGACAAUUUCCUCCCACGCAAGAAAGGCUGUUGCAGCAUUGGUUAAAUAGAGAAGCCUUAAGGAGGAAGAGAAGGGAUUUCCAAUUCCACCCCAGGAUGGAAGGGGUGAAUAGGAAAGCUUCUGGAAAGAGGUGGUGCUGAGCUGUCUCCAAAAGGAGAGCUGGCUGGAGGCAGGUAGAGAAACAAGGAAGGGCAUUGAUGCAAAAGGAUCAGGCUGAACCAUGGUGGCCAAGUGAGUUCUGCACUUAGGAAGUCCAAGCAUGAUGCCACCGGGAGGUGGGAGAGACGAGGAAGGGCAAAGAGAGGGGAGCGAAGAGAGGAGCUCAGUUUGCAAAGGUACAGAGAUAGGGGCUUGGAAGGACUUGUGGAAGGACCAACAGUGGGGUGUUGACAGAAGGGAGGUGUUUAGAGUUUAUUCCCUGGCCUGGGGUCUGCCAGUUGUCCUGGCUGGUGGUCAGGAGUGAGGGCCUGCCAGAGCAAAGCCCUGGGAGAAGAUUCGAAGGAGGAAAGAGACACAGGCUAAGCUUCAUGACUGACUACCCUAUGGGAGAA